GGCCACCUGUGUCUCCUUCUGGACCACGGCGCCACCUUCCUCGCUGGAUCUCCUGCAAAUGCCCCCCCACCGCCACAGACCCCACUGGUCUGCUCCCGCCACUCCCCUGCUUCCGACCCUUUAAGACACUGUAUCCAUUCAUUCCCUGGCUCGAUGUGCAUAUUCGACAUUCUCCAGCCGUCAGACCCUGUCCCGUACUGGGUACUGACUACAGUAGACGGGGAGGGCCCUGGCCUCAGGGAGCCUGUGGGCUAGCGUGCACCCAGACCAUGGCGACUACACAGGCAGAUAAAUGAGAGCAUGUUAAGUUCUGCGGACCAGUCAUCGGUGGUCCCCAUUAUGCCACCUAACAAGCCCAAACGCAGGGGCUUCCACAACAAUCAUUCGUUCUCCCUCACAAGUCUGCAGAUCGGCUGGGGAUCCGUGGAUCUGGCUGGGCUGCUCAAUAGGCCACUCAUCCUUGGACUUCUGGGGACGUGUGUGUCCCAUGGGGAUGGCAAGGAGCCAGGGGGCAAAAAGAAAGCUGUCGUGCUUCCGCAGCCCCUGAAGUGGGACACUUUCACUUCUGCCCACAUCCCAUCGGCCGGAGCUUGUCUCGUGGUCAAGUCCACCGUCAGUGUGCUGGGAAAAUACACACUGCCUCUAGAGGGACACCCUGCAAAGCCACAGAGGGAAGGUGCGCGUGCAGGGCUGGCUGGACAACUGGAAGCAGCAAAGCCUCCUACCACUUGCUCUGCAGGAAACGGGGUGCUGGUGUGGAUAAUCCCCGAGUGUCUGCUCCCGAGGGCUGCUCGGGGUCAGUCUCUCUGCACAGCCCACACUCAUGCUUAAACCCGAAGGAGGAGGAGAGCCAGGGAAGAGCUUUCUGGCAGAGGGAAUACGUGUAAAACCUCAGAAGUGGAGAUGAAUCGCUGUGUCGUUGGAACAGUCAGGAGGCAGGGCCGUGAUGAAGACAGCCCCAUCCCCGGGAUGCUGCUGACUACUUGUGUGUGGAGCCGGACCCUACUUAUGAAAUGAUUAGGAACACGCGGAAUCCAGAUGGCAGUUGGAAUAUUUCAUCUGGAGAAGAUGAAACGUGGGAAGAGGACUACUAUCAGUGUUCAGACUGAUGAUCAUGCUCCCUCCCUGGUGGCGAGAGGCAGGGGACUCACACUGUGACCAGCGUCCCUCGGCCCCCAUGACAAGCCUCCUCCUGCCUUCCUUGGCUCCCGGCCCCUCCUGUCUGAAGAACCAGCAGAGCAGUCAAGACCUUUUUGGCCUCCUUCUUCCCUCAUCCUUAAUAGAUGGUCAUCCAGCCUCAACUCGAGUCCUCUAACAGGGGACCCCACUUCACGAGCUGGCUCCCAGCCUUUCCAGCUGCUGAACUGCUGAAAUGCUCUUGCUUAAACUGAGCCAAAUGGGCCUCCUCCAAUGAUUCCUGGCUUUGCCCCUCGGGGUGUCCAGGUCCCAUUGGUUUCCUCUUCCCGAUCCUUCCUGACAUUAUUCUUGGAGGUGUCAGUCUUUUGUCAUGGAGCUUGCAGUUCAACAAAUCAUUUCAGCCGUUCUUUCUUGAGAGUUCACUUUUGCUGGGCAUUGUCCUCGAUCCCAGGGAGAUGGCAGUGAACAAGAGAGACCUUCCUCUGUCUGAGCCCACUGAAGAGCCACUUUACAUGUACCCUCCUCCAGGAGGAUUUCCCUGAUUUCUGGUUAGGCUAGGGUCCCUCCUUUAGGCUCCCAUAGCCCCCCAGGCCCCUCUGUCAUGACACUCAGCGUACUCCUGACCUGCCUCCGUCUCCCGCUCUGGACCAUGAGCCCUGAAAGGGCAGGGACUGUGUGUGGGCGGGGUGUUCAUGCCCGUCUUAGAGCUGGCACGUGGUAGGUGCUGGAUGCAUGGCUGGUUCCUCCAUGACUGAGCAGUUACAGAGGUGGUUCUCAGAACCAGGAGGAAGGGGAGCUCUUUGCCAAUUCUGGGGGUGAGGACGGCGCUCAUGGCAUUAGCCCCUGCUUACGAUGGCCUCCACGCUCUCCAACGCCACGUGUCCUUCUUGCUCCCCAUCUCAGAGUUGAGAAGAGCUGAUGUCAGACUGACUUGGAAUCUUGGAUCAGCCACUUACCCACUUACUGAUUUGGGCAAGUGACUUAACCUCUCUGAGCCUCAGUUUCCUUAUUUGUAAAAUGCAAAUAUUAACUUUCCCCACCGGGUUAUUGCGAGGGUGAAGGACUUAAUACUUGUCAAGAACGGCGCGCACACAGCGCGUAACAGGUGCGCCACGAACUUCGGUCCUUGCUUCCCACCGCAUGGGACUCCGUCAG